AUUGAACGCUGGCGGCAUGCCUUACACAUGCAAGUCGAACGGCAGCGGACCUUCGGGUGCCGGCGAGUGGCGAACGGGUGAGUAAUGCAUCGGAACGUCCCUUUCAGUGGGGGAUAACGUAGCGAAAGUUACGCUAAUACCGCAUAUUCUGUGAGCAGGAAAGCAGGGGAUCGCAAGACCUUGCGCUGAUUGAGCGGCCGAUGUCAGAUUAGCUAGUUGGUGAGGUAAAGGGUCACCAAGGCGACGAUCUGUAGCGGGUCUGAGAGGAUGAUCCGCCACACUGGAACUGAGACGCGGUCCAGACUCCUACGGGCGGCAGCAGUGGGGAAUUUUUGCCAAUGGGGGCAACCCUGAUCCAGCCAUGCCGCGUGAGUGAAGAAGGCCUUCGGGUUGUAAAGCUCUUUCGGCCGGGAAGAAAUCGCACGGGCUAAUACCCUGUGUGGAUGACGGUACCGGAAUAAGAAGCACCGGCUAACUACGUGCCAGCCGCCGCGGUAACAC
rnacentral:rRNA from 1 species